GACGAACGCUGGCGGCGUGCUUAACACAUGCGAGUCGAACGGAAAGGCCCUGCUUUUGUGGGGUGCUCGAGUGGCGAACGGGUGAGUAACACGUGAGUAACCUGCCCUUGACUUUGGGAUAACUUCAGGAAACUGGGGCUAAUACCGGAUAGGAGCUCCUGCUGCAUGGUGGGGGUUGGAAAGUUUCGGCGGUUGGGGAUGGACUCGCGGCUUAUCAGCUUGUUGGUGGGGUAGUGGCUUACCAAGGCUUUGACGGGUAGCCGGCCUGAGAGGGUGACCGGCCACAUUGGGACUGAGAUACGGCCCAGACUCCUACGGGAGGCAGCAGCGGGGAAUAUUGCACAAUGGGCGGAAGCCUGAUGCAGCAACGCCGCGUGCGGGAUGACGGCCUUCGGGUUGUAAACCGCUUUCGCCUGUGACGAAGCGUGAGUGACGGUAAUGGGUAAAGAAGCACCGGCUAACUACGUG
rnacentral:rRNA from 1 species